rnacentral:misc_RNA from 1 species
UGCAACUUUCAGAGAUCCAAUGAUAGCAUGUCCUUUAUUAUGGACAUCACUGUCAUGAGAGCUGUCUAGAAAUCCUUCCCCUAUCCAAUACUCUAUAAGCUGCUCUUUAUCAAUAGAGUAGUCUUCAGGGUACAGAGAACAGUAUAAGAAGCAUGACCUCAAUGUAUCAGUCUCCAGAUUGUCAUAGCUAAAUUUUAGAAGAGUAAAUACAUCUUCCAUACCUCUAAGUUCCGAUGGAGAUCUGCUUAGUACGUCUAUUGCAUACUUCCAUUCUUCUUCAGUCUCUUUAUUAGCCAUGGCUUUCCCAAUGGUGAUUAAGGC